rnacentral:sRNA from 1 species
CGCAAAUAGAACAGCUGUUUAAAAAUAGCCUUUGUCUAAAUGUGGAAAGCUAAUAAAUAUAGUAGGCACUGUCCCCUUACUUUGGGAGCACUUGCAGCCUCUUGUUUAACACAGACUCAUUAUUG